GUGCUCCCUUCAGCAGCACAUAUACUAAGACUGGAAUGAUACAGGGAAGAUUAGCAUGGUACCUGCACAAGGAUGACACAAAAAAGCUCACAGAAACUACACAAGGCU
ensembl:snRNA U6 U6 spliceosomal RNA